rnacentral:tRNA from 1 species
GGGAAUGUGACUCAGGGGUAGAGUGCUUGCCUUGCAUGCAUGAGGCCCUGGGUUCGAUUCCUCAGCACCA